rnacentral:rRNA from 1 species
UGCGUAGGCGGGUCUUUAAGUCAGGGGUGAAAUCCUGGAGCUCAACUCCAGAACUGCCUUUGAUACUGAGGAUCUUGAGUUCGGGAGAGGUGAGUGGAACUGCGAGUGUAGAGGUGAAAUUCGUAGAUAUCCGCAAGAACACCAGUGGCGAAGGCGGCUCACUGGCCCGAUACUGACGCUGAGGAACGAAAGCUAGGGAGCAAACA